AGAUAGCUCAUACGAGGGGGACUGCCAACUGGAUAAGAGCGGCGUGGGGGUCUCGACCAUUGGUCAGAGGCCAUGUGACCUAGCUGCCCGCAGCUGCAGCCGCCACCGCCGCCUCCCCCUCUCCUCUCCUCUCCUCGAAUUCUCCUACCUCAGUCGUCGUCGCCGCCGCCGCCGCCGUCGUCGACCUAGACGUCACCGGCUGAGACCGUUGUGGUAUGGAUAAGGAGACGGGAGGAAGAGCACAUCCUUCCCUGAUAGCGCCCCGACCUGCCAGGUCUUCCUCCUCGUCGGCCUAGGUCCGGGUCUGCUGGAUUAGAUGGACAGAAGUGGUGGAUCCGAUGGUUGCCGGAAUCCCUCAUCGUCGGAGGAAGGCGUGCGACCGGCAAAGAAAUAGGCUGAUGGAGCAGGAUGGGGUGGCGGUUCAAGUUCGGCGGCCUUCGCGUGUUGUGGUUGGCGGCGCUCCACUUCCCUUCCCCCCUGCCCUGAUUAUCCUUCAAAGGAGGCCACAAAGAGCAGCGAUGGCUUCUUGGUAAUCUGCAAUUGGCCACAAAGGAUGAGGUACAUGGAGGUUUGUAAUUUCAGAUUGCCGUACCUUCCAUUGGUGUAUAUGCAAGCUACAGAGAAAACCAAAUAUGCACCAUGCCGAUAUGCUUCAUGACGAGUGUGCUUUUGUCAUCCCUCACCCUCUCAGAUGGCCAUUAGGUGCUAACCAAGAGGUGCACGCCAUGAAUCAAACUACCGAGGGGGCAUACAAUAAUUAGGAGGGCAUGGCUAUCGCUGCGAAGCUACCCUCCCCCGCAAUCAUGCACUACUUUUCAAACGCAGUUCGCCACUGCUGUUUAAUUAGCUCCUGCAUUAGCAGCGGAUUCAGAGUUUAUUCUUCAGCAGAUUCAAUUUGCGGGAGACUCCUGUUGCAGUUUGGUGACAUAGAUCAGUGUCAAGUCGCUUAACAAAUGCAGCUAGGUUCCAUUCAGUUAGCCAAAGCCAUUGUGCAUUAAAAUUGUAGAUGUGCAUGACAGUGUGGAAAUCAUUAUGGCACGUCUAUGAGCAUGCUAUAUUCCCAUGCUACUUUCAGUUAUUAACCACUAGCUUUAUUACAGCACCCAGGAUUUCAGGGUUUGCUUUACUUAGGUUAGUAUGUACUCUACCACAGAUGAAUUGGUUAUAUCUCAUUUUAAUAUACUUCAUUAGUAAUUACUAAAUAUCUUAAGCUCGUUCUAUGGUAAAUUUUGUUUGGGUCUAUUUUUUUGGAUCAUUUCCAUAUCUACAUUUCUUCAUAGAUUAAAAUAGCCCGCAAAAUAGCCGCGAUAGCUGCGCUAUAGCUGCCCGGGAGCCUCGCCGCUACGCUAUGGCUGCUGCCGCGAAAUCCUCCACAUAUCCCUAUAAAUGGCUCAACAAUCAACAAAUCCCUCCAGAAUCAUCUCCCCCACCAGAAAAAUUUCCGCUAUUUGCCGCGAUUGCCCGCUACGGCGGCCGCUAUAGCUGCUGGGAGAGGCCGCCGCGAAAUCGUUUCUCCCGCGAUUUUAAUCUAUGCAUUUCUUACAUAUAAAGGUAUGCUGCAAAAAUUAAGGGUUUGGAUGGUAAUUUAUGGCUGUUUCAGUUGCUGACCAUGUGAUUAUGGUAGUCUACAAUUUGCUUAUGGGUUCUUCAUUGCUUGAUUUUUAUCUCGGACAAAAGAGGGCCAGCCACACCUUUGAAAUAAGCAGCGGUCAUCCAGUCCAGAACAGACUGAAUCUGCUCGACAAAGUGUGGAAAGGCAAUUACUGCUUGGCAAAGUGUAAAAAAGGCCAGGGUAUCAUUUAUGUAGUUAUUUGGAAUGCAAGGUUAGGAAAUCCAAGAAAUAAGAUGAGAAGAGGAAUCUAGCAAAGGAAGGUGAAUCUUUUCUCUUGUGAAUACAACAAGGUUUGUUCCUGCCAGCGAGCAACACAGAUCUCAUGCAUGUACUGAUUGAUGCCUUGGUUAUAUUGAUCUAUAAAGAUAAUUUCAGCCUUCCAUGUAUUUGAACAUUUAUUGUGUUGCAGAUGAACUCUACCAUGCUUACUGAUAUACUCCUGCGUAUAUGUAUGUUUUACUAGAAGUUCCUAUUUUUUAACUAUUGCGUACCAGAAAAUUGAAUUGGCAAUGUCUGCAUAAAUAUGAUGUAUUAAAUUAUGUUUUGAGAGGGAUUUGUUCAUUUUCAAAACUAAGGAAGUUGGAUGAGCUUAAAGCACCCAUUCAUCAGUUCACUGAACUUUUCGAAUUCUAUUUUAAGUCCACAAGAGGGCAAAAUCAUUGCUCUUUCCCAGAUUAUCUAAAUCAGAUGGGCGGGCUCCAAACUGCCAGUGCCAUUUGUCGUUUUUGUGUUUUGAUUUUUACUUGAGUGCCUUUGGACCGAUGGUACUAUGGAGAGGUGACAUUAGCACGGUUGAUGGUUGCUUCUCUCCUGUAGAGUACAUCUCCUUCUAUAUUCCAAUAUAUCAAUAAAACAAGAGAUCUAUAAUAUCAUUGUUUAUGAAGUUCACAGAUUAUUGAAGAUUUUUGCUGCCAUGGAAUUGUGAGUUUGUGACUAUACAUUCUUGUGUCCUACAUGUGAAUUGAAGAUGUAUUGUCUCUGUAUGUGAAUGUCAAUAUCCAGGUAUGUAAGCAAGUCCUAACUUUUAUUCACAUAUUUAUCUAUGAAAUGCAUGCAAGCAAAUCACAUCUUACAGACAAAUGCCCCCUUAUAGGUAAAUGUGAUGAUUCAUAAAUUAACCAGUUGGAGAUCUGUAGACAGUCAGGUGUACUGAUAACUGGAGUUUAGUGCUCAAAAUCCUUCUAACCUUUCUACUGACUGUAUUUUCUUGACGUCUUUAAGAGAAGAAUGAGUACUAUUAGUCAUUCUCUAUCAUGUAUAAUAGUACAAUACUGGAGAUGUGAAUGGAUAAUGUUCAUUUAGCAUAGUAUUAGUAGAUGAUGAUUUCUUUUCUUCACAGUCAACUCGUGUAUUUCCUGAUAUGUUCAGUCUAUUCCCAAAUUAAUUCGUAAAGUAGCCUUAACAAUUAUACAGUCUCUGUGUGUAUUAGUACUCUGUUUUCUCUGGUUUUUGGUCAGCUGGAAGAAUCAGUUUGUCAUAACAUGUGAAAAUGAUUUUAUUUACUUACGCUGUUGCUUUUAUCAGUUAGCAACGAUGUAUGUCAAAUGUAGUAAGUUAGGCAUCGCAGUGAAGCUUGGCAAAGGGACUUCUGGUGAGGCCUACAAGGCUGGAAGCACUGUAUGUAAGGUGGUACCCUCUGAUGGAUAUUCAUUUGUCAACUAAUACAUGACCACACUAGAGAAGCACACGCCGCGCACACACAAGGAUCCUAUCAGGUUCCAAAUAUGUACGUGGAUGUGGAUGAUCUUUAAAUACCUGGAUGAUUAUUCCACAUAAACAAAGUCAUAUUGUCAUUUUUAACACAAGAACAAAGCAGUGUCCCAUAACACAAAUAGCUACUGCUUGUGUUGAGUAGAAAAUCCAUUCAUUAGUUAUGGGGCAUCAAGAAGAGCAAACACCAAUGCGGUGAGACAUACCUGUUCCAUAUAAACAUGCGGAAAGUUGUAAAUCCUUUCACCUGGGCGAGGCACUGUGAUCAACGGCCUAGCCCAAGCAUGCCAUAGCUCCUUGUAUAAUGCGUCGCUAGAACUCCCUGCACAAAGGAUUCAUUAUGUGAACUAACAUGGCAAGUUUACUUUGUAGCAUGGUAAAUUUAGUUUUAUAGCAUGGUUAAAAUGCUAUGUCAGGUAUCGAACUCAAACAUAUAAACCAUGCUACGCUACCCGCCUAUCAUCCGAAGGAGGGGCGGAGUGGGUGCCAGCCAGGUAGGCGGCAGGUGGGAGAUGGCAGCCGCCGAUCUCACACGGCUCCUACGCCCUGCCACCCUCUCCUCCCCAGCUAAGCAGGAGGUUCAAGAGCAGCAACUAAGGAAGGAGCAUGUCGGCGAUAUGGGCUAGCAGCAGGAAGACACGGCUGUCAGGUGCAGUUGAUAUGCUGCCACCUCGGCCCCUUCAUGCACGACUUCCAAGACCAGGGCCUUUUUCCGAGGGAUGCGCUGUGUUUCUCUUUAUUGUUGUUGUUUGUGAUGUCCUAGAUAUUCCUUUGCUAUAUGAUUUGAGAUCAUUUUAUUGCUCAUUCCUAAAGUGCUACGGAUAAUCUGAUUGAGCUGACUAAGAUAGAUGUUCUUUUCUUUACUUGGCAUCUGCUUCUCUUCAUUUUUCUACAAUCCUUCCUUUACAGUUUGCACGCUGGUAUGUUUUGUUGCCAGGCUCAAAUCGGCGAGACCCAUGCCAAUACAUGAGGUACAAUAUUUUUCUUAUUUAUUACUUGCAUACAUGUUGAGUUCAUUCAUCCUAUUAUGUAUACUGAUUAAACAGUACAGGUUGAUACUUGCUCGUGCUCAUUUCUCAAAUUUAUGUUCAGGCAUAACCUCGCAAAAUUUUGGUAUGCACCACUUAUAAUCAGGGCUUGCUUAUUUUAAUUCUUGAAUUCUUUAGAUAAAUAUCUAUCAUUAGUAUUUGUAAUCAUUUUGUCGCUUAGGAUUUCCAAUUGCAUUUGAUUUCUAUGCCGACAUAGAUCUUAUUGCUCAUCAAAGGUAUCUAAAAGUUGUGUUCUCUGCAAACAGAUGGGUUGUGUUAGUCAAUAGAAUACCUAAGAUGUCAGUUUUGUUGCCAAAUAUUGUAAUCCCAGAUUUACAGAGUUCUAGAAUAGAAGAUGAUCUGGUGGUUACCUCUCUGUUAUUUACUCGAAUGACUGUACUUAUAUCUUACCUUCAAACUUUACCGGAUGUUGGUUUAGUUUCCAUCUCCAAUCAGAUUAAUGGUUUGCAGACCAAAGCCAAUGUUUUAUGGUGUUCUUAUUCCUAAUUUAGUUAUACAUUUCAUUUGUAGUUUCUUCGUAGAUAAUAAAGCAGUGGCAGAUGAACCAAUAAGUUAUCUUUGCCCAUGCUUUAUUGUAAGCAUUAAAUUUGCUCUCUGGUAUUACUUUCAAUGUGUUAUCCAUACCCAUGCUUUUUGCGGCUAUCAUGUCCUAUCAACUUAUGCAGAGUCCAUGAUAUCAUACAGUUUGAAGUCGAAAAAUUCAUGAUAUGGGUGAUAUGGAAAAGUCAUUGCCUUCUUUGCUGGAACAUUCCCUGAUUGCCUGGACUUCUUGGGUCAAUCGCUGGACGCCACCCCCGUCUCCUGGACGUCAUGACGCCGCCGAUUUCCUUGACGCCGCCUGCCACUGAUCUUCUAUAACUCAAUUUCUCCAAUUUUUCUCAGCUGUGAGCUCAUAUAUUUUUUGAGUUGUGAACUUAUUAUGUAAACUCAACACUUUGUUUUGUGACAAGUGAACUCAUUUCAUAUUCAUCUAUCAAUCAUGGUUGAAGUGUCUA